GACGGAGGGUGCAAGCGUUGCUCGGAAUCACUGGGCGUAAAGCGCACGUAGGCGGAUCAUUAAGUCGGGGGUGAAAUCCUGGAGCUCAACUCCAGAACUGCCUUCGAUACUGAAGAUCUCGAGUCCGGGAGAGGUGAGUGGAACUCCGAGUGUAGAGGUGAAAUUCGUAGAUAUUCGCAAGAACACCAGUGGCGAAGGCGGCUCACUGGCCCGGUACUGACGCUGAGGUGCGAAAGCGUGGGGAGCAAACAGG
rnacentral:rRNA from 1 species